rnacentral:rRNA from 1 species
UACGUAGGGUGCGAGCGCUGUCCGGAAUUAUUGGGCGUAAAGGGCUCGUAGGCGGUCUGUUGCGUCGGGAGUGAAAACUCAGGGCUUAACCCUGAGCCUGCUUCCGAUACGGGCAGACUAGAGGUAUGCAGGGGGGAACGGAAUUCCUGGUGUAGCGGUGGAAUGCGCAGAUAUCAGGAGGAACACCGGUGGCGAAGGCGGUUCUCUGGGCAUUACCUGACGCUGAGGAGCGAAAGUGUGGGGAGCGAACAGG